rnacentral:rRNA from 1 species
UACGGAGGGGGCAAGCGUUGUUCGGAAUCAUUGGGCGUAAAGGGCGCGUAGGCGGCCGAUCAAGUCGGGUGUGAAAUCCCUCGGCUCAACCGAGGAACUGCACUCGAUACUGUUCGGCUAGAGUCCGGGAGGGGAUGGUGGAAUUCCCAGUGUAGCGGUGAAAUGCGUAGAUAUUGGGAAGAACACCGGUGGCGAAGGCGGCCAUCUGGACCGGCACUGACGCUGAGGCGCGAAAGCCAGGGAGCGAAUGGG